AUGCAGUGUACCCGCGGCAAGACGGAAAGACCCCGUGAACCUUUACUAUAGCUUGACACUGAACAUUGAGCCUUGAUGUGUAGGAUAGGUGGGAGGCUUUGAAGUGUGGACGCCAGUCUGCAUGGAGCCGGCCUUGAAAUACCACCCUUUAAUGUUUGAUGUUCUAACGUGGACCCGUGAUCCGGGUUGCGGACAGUGUCUGGUGGGUAGUUUGACUGGGGCGGUCUCCUCCUAAAGAGUAACGGAGGAGCACGAAGGUUGGCUAAUCCUGGUCGGACAUCAGGAGGUUAGUGCAAUGGCAUAAGCCAGCUUGACUGCGAGCGUGACGGCGCGAGCAGGUGCGAAAGCAGGUCAUAGUGAUCCGGUGGUUCUGAAUGGAAGGGCCAUCGCUCAACGGAUAAAAGGUACUCCGGGGAUAACAGGCUGAUACCGCCCAAGAGUUCAUAUCGACGGCGGUGUUUGGCACCUCGAUGUCGGCUCAUCACAUCCUGGGGCUGAAGUAGGUCCCAAGGGUAUGGCUGUUCGCCAUUUAAAGUGGUACGCGAGCUGGGUUUAGAACGUCGUGAGACAGUUCGGUCCCUAUCUGCCGUGGGCGCUGGAGAACUGAGGGGGGCUGCUCCUAGUACGAGAGGACCGGAGUGGACGCAUCACUGGUGUUCGGGUUGUCAUGCCAAUGGCACUGCCCGGUAGCUAAAUGCGGAAGAGAUAAGUGCUGAAAGCAUCUAAGCACGAAACUUGCCCCGAGAUGAGUUCUCCCUGAGACUUUAGGUCUCCUGAAGGAACGUUGAAGACGACGACGUUGAUAGGCCGGGUGUGUAAGCGCAGCGAUGCGUUGAGCUAACCGGUACUAAUGAACCGUGAGGCUUAACCUU
rnacentral:rRNA from 1 species